AGUGAACGCUGGCGGUAGGCCUAACACAUGCAAGUCGAACGGCAGCACAGUAAGAGCUUGCUCUUACGGGUGGCGAGUGGCGGACGGGUGAGGAAUACAUCGGACUCUACUUUUUCGUGGGGGAUAACGUAGGGAACCUUACGCUAAUACCGCAUACGACCUACGGGUGAAAGCAGGGGAUCUUCGGACCUUGCGCGAGUGAAUGAGCCGAUGUCGGAUUAGCUAGUUGGCGGGGUAAAGGCCCACCAAGGCGACGAUCCGUAGCUGGUCUGAGAGGAUGAUCAGCCACACUGGAACUUAGACACGGUCCAUACUCCUACGAGAGGCAGCAGUGGGGAAUAUUGGACAAUGGGCGCAAGCCUUAUCCAGCCAUACCGCGUGGGUGAAGAAGGCCUUCGGGUUGUAAAGCCCUUUUGUUGGGAAAGAAAAGCAGCAGGUUAAUACCCCGCUGUUCUGACGGUACCCAAAGAAUAAGCACCGGCUAACUUCGUG
rnacentral:rRNA from 1 species